AUUGAACGCUGGCGGCAGGCUUAACACAUGCAAGUCGAGGGUAGCGGCGGACGGGUGAGUAAUGUAUGGGAAACUGCCUGAUGGCGGGGGAUAACUACUGGAAACGGUAGCUAAUACCGCAUACUCUCAGAUGAGCCUAGGUGGGAUUAGCUGGUUGGUGGGGUAAAGGCCUACCAAGGCGACGAUCCGUAACUGGUCUGAGAGGAUGAUCAGGCACACUGGAACGGAGACACGGCCCAGACUCCUACGGGAGGCAGCAGUGGGGAAGAUGGGACAAUGGGCGAAAGCCUGAUGCAGCCAUGCCGCGUGUGUGAAGCAGGUCUUCGGAUUGUAAAGUACUUUAAGCGGGGAGGCGUUACCAGCAGAAUAAGCACCGGCUAACUCCGUGCCAGCAGCCGCGGUAAUUC
rnacentral:rRNA from 1 species